UCUGUCGAUUCAAGCGUCAACUGUUGCAUCGGAGAGCGCUUUUAGUCAAGCAAGACUACAAAUAGGUGAUCACAGAGCGUCGAUGCGGGACAACUUGGGAAAAUCAGUGCUUUUUCGAGAUUGGAUCCACGCAGAAAGAAGGAACUUUGGGCUAGCAAAAUCACAACCAGAAAUAGAUGAGUGCUAUGAAGAAAUGAUAGCAGAACUUGCUCAGAAAGCAACUUCACUCGGAAGUGGUGAUGAACAAGCUUCAUUUCCACCACCGCCAACACAA
rnacentral:lncRNA from 1 species